AGGAACAACGCUGGCGGCGUGCCUAACGCAUGCAAGUCGGGCGGGGCCGCCUUUCGGGGUGGUUCAGCGGCGGACGGGUGAGUAGCGCGUGACCGACCUGCCCGCGAGUGGGGGCCAACCCCGGGAAACCGGGGCUGUUACCGCAUGAGUCCGGUCGCCGGUGGGGUGAUCGGGGAAAGCCGCCUUUCGGGGUGGCGCUGGCGGAGGGGGUUGCGUCCGAUUAGCUAGUCGGCGGGGUGACGGCCCACCGAGGCGACGAUCGGUCGCUGGUCUGAGAGGACGGCCAGCCACAGGGGGACUGAGACACGGCCCCCACACCUACGGGUGGCAGCAGCGAGGGAUUUUCGGCAAUGGGCGCAAGCCUGACCGAGCAACGCCGCGUGCGGGACGACGCCCCUCGGGGUGUAAACCGCUUUUGGUCGGGGCGAAAUUGACGGUACCGAUCGAAUAAGUCUCGGCUAACUACGUGCCAGCAGCCGC
rnacentral:rRNA from 1 species